UACGGGGGGGGCAAGCGUUGUUCGGAAUUACUGGGCGUAAAGGGCUCGUAGGUGGCCAACUAAGUCAGACGUGAAAUCCCCAGGCUCAACUUGGGAACUGCGUCUGAUACUGGAUGGCUUGAAUCCGGGAGAGGGAUGCAGAAUUCCAGGUGUAGCGGUGAAAUGCGUAGAUAUCUGGAGGAAUACCGGUGGCGAAGGCGGCAUCCUGGACCGACAUUGACGCUGAGGAGCGAAAGUUAGGGGAGCAAACGGG
rnacentral:rRNA from 1 species